rnacentral:miRNA from 1 species
GAGACCGUGUGUGUGUGUGUGUGUGUGUGUGUGUGUGUGUGUGUGUGUGUUGGGGGCAACAGCAGCACCCACAGCCAGCCCACUCCCAGG